GACGGAUGUGGCAAUGACAUCGCUUCAUUGUAUCGUCACUAGUUCAUAAGUGAUGAUUGUCUAUUAGAGAAUCUUUCUAAUGAAGUAAAAGUACUAUAUUUUAUUUUACUGAGUUACAACUAUCAUUGCAUGCCUUUUAAAGCACUAUUUUCUACAUUGCAUGUUCUAUUGAGUUGAGUAAUUUUCAGAUAUGAGUUCCAAGAGUUGAGUAUCUUGAUGUAAGUUUUCUUUUGCCAUUUUACAUACUCAUACAUUCCAUGUACUAAUUUCAUUCGACCUGCAUCAUUUCAUGAUACAUAUAUAGGUUUUAGAGAUUAUCAACAAGUGCACCUUUGAGGAUCUAUCCGUCCGAGCUUUUGGGAUCGGCGUUCCUCCUUGUUCUCCUCCACGUGGCUAGUUGAGAUUUUGAUGAAGGCUACUCUUGGUGAGUUCCCAUGUUUUGGGAAUGAUAUUUCCUUAUCUUUCUAGCUUAUGAUAUGUUAAGAGCUUUAGACAUUUAUUAUGACAUUUUAUUCUACUUUGAUUGAGAGUGAGCUAGGGACUUGUCUUAGCCCCCGCUAAAUCUAAAAGUUAGAGGUAUUGUUGUACAUAUGUAAGUUAAAGCUUGACUAUUAUGGUUCUUAUUAUGAUGUUUC